UUUGGUAAAAGUAGUGGAGGUAUUUUCUUUUCUUCCCUUUUGUUGCCUCAGCCCGGUGUCCCUCUGAUAUGAAAAAACAAAAAAAACAAGACAUUGAAGCGUUCGAGAUAGCGAGAAAGUUACGAAGCUUCAGCAGACGUGAACUAACGCCUGGCUCUAGCCGCGUCGCUCUCUCUACCUCCGUCCGCCGCCCAGGUAAGUCGACAGGUGCGUGACAAUCUCCUAGCGUCAUACUGUAACGCUCUGCUGAUUCAGGACAUGUCAGGUCUCUCCGGGGUUGAAGUGGCAGCAGCAGGAACAUGAACACCCAACACUGAGUACAAAGUUAUCCUGUGUUCAGUGUAAUUACCUUCAGAUCAUUCACUUUCCCUCGCCCUCCUUGCCCUGCUCUUCAGUGACAUGACACUCCCACGACACACGGAGCCACUACCAGGUGACCUGUAAUCUUUUAACGAGGUGUAAUAUUUUACUGGUGUAAUCUUUUAACUUGUAACGGCUCGUUUAUUGUAAUGAGCAUUUGGAGUUAUAGAAAGCCCAAUAUUGAGGUGUUUGUAUUGGUCCUUAUGUAACUGAUUGGUAUUCAGGCGUCUUGCAUUUUCGUCAUUUUGGAUUUAGGUUAGCGUAAAUAUUUUUGUACAAAUGUGUCGAGUGACGACCUAGUUUGUUUGCGUCGCUUAAUUGAAGUCUUUACUGUCUGUACUCAUUGAUUUAUUUACUAAUUGAUUGUGCUAAGUGUAUUUACUGUUAGGUCAUCCCAGCCACGUGCCGCCGCCUCGCUCCGCUGCUUCACAAGGCGCUCCACGCGUGCCACAGCCAGCCGGCGCUCCUUAUUGGCGGCCUGAAGACCCACGCACCCCAGCAACAAGAUGAGUGGUGACGCUGCAGACUGGCGGCGGCACUCCCCUGCAUUGCUGUAACAAAGCAGCCGUGUGAGCGACUCGUGGGCUGGCGCGCCGCCGGUUAAUGAUGUACGAGAGGCUCCCAAAUAUAUAUUAUUUUUAGUUAA